rnacentral:lncRNA from 1 species
CGUUCUUUUUCCUCUCGCGGUCCCCAGGAGCCCAGGCACCCCUCGACGCCGCUGCCGGCGGAACCGGGAACCCUCCCCGGGGCUCCCUGCGGGCCCGAAGCCGCCUUCCCGAGGCGGCGGAGUUGGGCAGCUCCGGGCCCCGCGCCGCCCCGCGCCGCCCCGCGGAGCCGGAGUUUCUCUCCGGAGUCUGGACACAGCUCUCCGCUUCGUCGCCGCGCACUGGACCCCGGUAGCGUGGAGCCUGCCCGGGAAGCUGGGCUGCGCCGGCCUGGGGCGAAGGUCCAAGGGGCGCGGGGGCCGGGACGCGGGGCUGUGGCGACGACCGGCCCUCUGCGAACGCUCAGGCCGGCGGGUCCGGGGCCACAGGCUGGGAGUGGAGCUGGCGGCCACUGGGGAGUAGAGAGGACGCCCAGGAACAGGUGCACCAGGGUCCCGGCGGCUGGGCCGAGGGUCGCAAGCAGAGGGGACCGGCGGCUGCCAGCAAGUCCCAAGCAGAUGCCUCCGGCGGGGCAGCCGCAUUUUACAGCGCCCAUUCCGCGUACAUCGAGUAUCCAAAACGAGUAAAAUCGGUUUAUACGUUGGAAUGUAGCUUAUGAUUCCAAAAUCUCAUCUCCAGGCUGCCUAGAUCACACGGCCCCGUUUCAUUCAUUUUUACUGAAUAACGGUCGUUGGACAAUUUAGAGAAGCAGCAGAAACCACGAGAAAAACAGUGGAGUCAAACGGCGGUAAGGACCGACAAGGCUGGCGGGGACAUUGAGCAAACGGCGGCUUCUGAGUUGGCACCUGUCCUUCACCACGUUGUGUGGGAAGUGUGGGGAGUCGGGAUUCCCACUCCUCCCCAGCCUUCCGGAAAAAUGCUCGGAAAUUUCCUUCCACAUUGACACCUGAUUACAGUCUAAAUAGUAACCUUAUUCUGAUUGUUAAUGUAACCCUCUCGUAAUCUCUACAAAAAUACUUUAGUUUUUCUAGCUGUGUUUUCAUGUAAUCACUGAAAUUAUUUUUAAUUGGUUUUAAGCAUUCAUUGAUUCCAUUUACACCACCUGCAAAAAAGUUACAUAGGUGAUCGCUAACAAUACUAGAAUUCGCCCCAUCCAAAGGAAACAUUAGAGUAGAAAAAGAAAAAGGAUUUGAGAAUCCAGUAGGAAAUUCAGUUAAUCAUUCCUUCCCUGUUACUCAACUACCUUAACAUUGUCAGGUUUACCUGAACAUAAACUUCAUUUUCUUAAUUGUUCUUAGAACGAAGGGAUAUGUUUAUUGAAAUCAGUAAUUAAGAAUAUUUUGGGACAGUUAUGAUUUACUUAGCCAGUGAAGCAGUUUCUAUUCCCAAAUCCAGGCAAAGAGAACAAUAAGAUUAAACGUAACCUAAGAGAUUUCCUUUUUGUCAAAUAAUGUGAUUUUGCUAUGUAUAGAGGAGAUGUCUAUAUGUAAGGGCAUAUUUAUGACCAGUAGUUCCUAAAAUUAAGGGGACUAUUAUUGUGUUACUCAAGGUAUCAGUUGUAUAGGAUACAUUAUGUCAUAUUUCAAACAAUGUUUAUAAAGAGAUUAGUAUAAUUAACCUGUGUGUACUUCUCCUCUGGGCCAACCUUGUGUCUUCUUUAUCUGCUGACAGUCCUCUCCCCACUGAAUUAUUUUGAAUCAAAUCCCAGAUAGUCUAUCAUUGUAUUGUAUUUUUGAAUAUUUCUCUAAAAGAUAAUAAUUCCAUCAAUGAGACUGGGUGCAGUGGCUCCUCCCUGUAAUCCCAGCUCUUUGGGAGGCAGAGGUUGGAGGAUCACUUUAGGCCAGGAGUUCAAGACCACCCUGAGCAACAUAGCAAGACCCCAUUUAUAAAAAAGAAGAUUCCCAUCAACGUAACCACAAUACCAUUAUCACACCUAAAUAAUCCAUUAAUAGCAUCGGUUUAUCCAGGCAAUAUUUAAAUAUCUUCAAUUGUCUAAAAACUUUUUGUUUAGUUGGUCGGUUUGAAUUAGAAUGCUAAUAAGGGUUACGUAUUGUGUUUGGUUGAUAUGGGCUAUUAUAUCUCUUUUAGAUUUCCUCAAUCCUCUUUUUUUGUUUCCCUUGCAUUUUUUAUGGGAGAAACUGAACGGUUUGUUCUGAAGAAGUUGACAUUCUGGACUUUGUAGCUGCAGGUAAUAGUUUUUUGGCAAGAUAUUCCCAGGGAUAAGGUCGUUUAUUCAGACUUUUGAAUAUUGGCAAAUAAUAAUAUUGUUUGUAGAGGGAGAAGGAUUAGUCAAGAUAUUUUGAAGAAUCAACUAUUGAAAAAACAAAUUUUUAUCAGAGUAAGCAUGGAUCUGGUAAAGAUUAUGUGAAAUUUUCCUAAAUGCAAAUACAAUCUAAAAUUGUAAUGUCUUACAAUUAAAAAAUAGAUUAUUUUCCAUAUAUUUAUAGAAAUAUAAAUGAUCAAUCAACUAUUUCAUUGACAAUUUUAAAUCUAGUUUUGUCUUGAGGAGAAUAAAGUUUUUUAUAUCUUUAGUAUUUUAGUUGAAGAUCCAAAGACAUUUUAUGUUAAAACUUUAGGUUUUAUAUUGUUUUAUGUUUUAAAACAUAAAAUCUAAAAUGUGGUAAUAUCCAUGAGGUGCAGAGAGAGUAAUAGCACAAAUUCUGUGUUCAUGAAAAUUCAUUUUAGGAUAACUUAAUUAAAAGGACUCAGGAUUUGAAUGAUAUUAGAUUAGACAGAAAAAAGUUCACUUGAGUGUAAGACAUAAGUAAUAAAAACCAAAGGUAGCUAACUUUUGUAGGCUUCUUCUUUCUUUAACGAGUAUGCAUAUGAAAUAAAAUUUCCAUGUCUAUGUCCAUUUUUCCAAGGUACAUGGGCUUCUACAAUUUCGUCUAUUUCAUCCUGCAGUUAUUUUCACGGGUCUCUGUGUCCACCACUAUCUGGAAUCUCUGAGAUGGCGCUGUUGUAGGAGCAAGGUAUACAAUGAUGAUCAAGGCAGAUGCAGCCCUUACCUUCAGGUCGUGGAGUCCGGAUACAGACUGGAGGCAGAGGCAGCUGUAAGAUGUGUGACAAAUGCUGCGCUGGAUCAGCCCAUGGUAUUAGGAGAGCAGCCUCCCAAAGUGCUGGGAUUGCAGGUGCGAGCCACCGGGUCCAGCCUCUCAGGCGAUUUUCAUACCUGCAUACUCUGAUCACUACGCUGUUAAACAGUCAAGGAGGGUAAGUAUUAUCUUCAGAUUUCCAGAGCUCUGUCUCUGUACAGCCCUCUCCUCCUCAAUAUUCUGCCCUAUGAAUUCUAGCCACAUUGGCCUUCCCAGACUCACAGUUCUGUCUUCUCAACUCAGGAAGAUCUCUGAGCUCCAUCUGCAUUCUUUCUUCCUGUGCUGUGGCUUGGAAAGUUUUCUAAGGUGUUUGGGAGGUCAAUUGUGGGGCUAGCCUCAUUUGUUUCUCAUCUCUUGAGGAUCACUGCCCUUUGAUGCUUGAUUCCAGUGAUUGAUUCCCUUUGUUGCUUGAGGGCCAUAGUUUCAUAUAUUUUGUCCAGUAUUUUUGUUGUUUUAGGUCAGAAAGUAAUUUUGGUCUCUGUUACUCCAUCUUGGCCAGAAGUGUAAGACCUAAGCAUUUACACAUCAAAAUACUGCACACAUAAUUUUAGUUUAAGCUACUUUUAAAAAAAUCUGCUUCAUUUUCCAUUAAGCAUUCUAUUUAGGGUAUUACAUUGUUUUUUUUGAAAUUCUGUUAUUGGCAGUUUCUAUUGCCUAUCAAUCCCAUUUAAAGAUAGUGCAUAGGGUAUUCUAAAAUAGCUGUUAAGCAAAGAGAAAAUUGGGCCUGAUAGGGUGAGAAUCACAGCUCUAAUACCUAGAGUGACCUUAUAAUGUAUUGUCCAAAGGAGAUAUUUUUGACAGUGAAAGAGGGUGUUGUUAGUAAUUAUAUCAGGACCAUGGCCUAAACCAGGACUAUCCCAGGCAGCCUGGGACAUAUUUGUACCCCAUCUCUAUUUAAUGCCUUUAUACAAUUCUUAAUUCUACCAGCCUUUAUUGAGCCUGCUUUCUUUGUCUAGCUGAGUGCCACGUGCUGACAUCACUAAGAUCAAUACAGCAAACUCUGAAAGAUGGACGGAGAGACAGGAGAUGGUCCUUUAUAAUGCAGUGUGAUCUGUGCUGCAAUAGAGUUUUGGAAGCUAGAAGUUCAAAACGAGGUGUUGGCAGCACCAUGCUCUCUCUGAAGAUGCUAGGAAGAAUCUGCUCCAUGCCUUUCCAUUCGCUUCUGGGGUUUCCUGCAAGCCCUGACAUUCCUUGGCUUGUAGAUACACCACCCCAGUUUCCGCCCCCAUCAUCACAUGGCCUCCUCUCUGUGUGUGCCUCUGCGUUCCCUCUAUUCUUCUUCUAAGGACACCGACACCAGUCAUAGUGGAUUAAGGGUCCACUCCUAACCAAUUACAUCUGCAACAACCCUAUUUCCAAAUAAAGUCACAUUCUAAGA